rnacentral:rRNA from 1 species
CGCAAUGAGAUGCGAACCUGUGUUCGUGAGCUCUUCUUAGAGGGACUGACUACGUUUAGUGGUCGGAAGUUUGAGGCAAUAACAGGUCUGUGAUGCCCUUAGAUGUUCUGGGCUGCACGCGCGCUACACUGACAGAGGCAGCGAGUAUACAACCUUGACCGGAAGGUCUGGGCAAUCUUUUUAAACUCUGUCGUGCUGGGGAUAGAGCAUUGCAAUUAUUGCUCUUCAACGAGGAAUUCCUAGUAAGCGCAUGUCAUCAGCAUGCGUUGAUUACGUCCCUGCCCUUUGUACACACCGCCCGUCGCUACUACCAUGUAAAUGGCAAAAUA